AUUGAACGCUGGCGGCAGGCCUAACACAUGCAAGUCGAACGAGUGGCGGACGGGUGAGUAAUGUCUGGGAAACUGCCCGAUGGCGGGGGAUAACUACUUGAAACGGUAGCUCAUACCGCAUACCAUCGGAUGUGCCCAGAUGGGAUUAGCUAGUAGGUGGGGUAACGGCUCACUUAGGCGACGAUCCCUAGCUGGUCUGAGAGGAUGACCUGUCACACUGGAAUGGAGACACGGCCGAGACUCCUACGGGAGGGAGCAGUGGGGAAUAUUGCACAAUGGGCGCAAGCCUGAUGCAGCCAUGCCGCGUGUAUGAAGAAGGCCUUCGGGUGGUAAAGUACUUUCAGCGAGGAGGCGUUACUCGCAGAAGAAGCACCGGCUAACUCCGUGCCAGCAGCCGCGGUAAUUC
rnacentral:rRNA from 1 species